GACGUAGGGUGCAAGCGUUAAUCGGAAUUACUGGGCGUAAAGCGUGCGCAGGCGGCUUUGCAAGACAGAUGUGAAAUCCCCGGGCUUAACCUGGGAACUGCAUUUGUGACUGCAUGGCUAGAGUGCGGCAGAGGGGGAUGGAAUUCCGCGUGUAGCAGUGAAAUGCGUAGAUAUGCGGAGGAACACCGAUGGCGAAGGCAAUCCCCUGGGCCUGCACUGACGCUCAUGCACGAAAGCGUGGGGAGCAAACAGG
rnacentral:rRNA from 1 species